rnacentral:misc_RNA from 1 species
GAAAUGCGAUAAGUAGUGUGAAUUGCAGAAUUCAGUGAAUCAUCGAAUCUUUGAACGCACAUUGCGCCCCUUGGUAUUCCAUGGGGCAUGCCUGUUCGAGCGUCAUUUGUACCCUCAAGCUCUGCUUGGUGUUGGGUGUUUGUCCCCGUCUCCGCGCGUGGACUCGCCCCAAAGUGAUUGGCAGCCGGCGUACUGGUCCCGGAGCGCAGCACAUGUCGCGCAAGCGAGUGCCUUGGUACGGCGGCGUCCAUAAGCCCCUCUCUCACGCUCUUGACCUCGGAUCAGGUAGGGAUACCCGCUGAACUUAAGC